AAAUCAAGUGCAGAGAAAGGCAUUUAAAAUCCCCAAACUGUGUUAAUCAAUCUUCCCCAUCAAAAAGCAUCCCCUCCCCAUUACCUCAUCCCCGGAUCUACCACCAUAUCCCGGGUGGAAGCUCUCUGUUUUUUUUUUAACAGUAGCCGGGGGAGAGAGGGAGGAGAACUGGGAAGGAGGAGCCAUGUUGCCCCUUUAAUCUUUCAUCUUUGUCCUGCUUCUGUCUUUAAUUUUUGCUUCUUUGUGCACAAAUGGCGAGAGAAACAGAGAGGGAACACGGAGAAACCGAUAGAUCGACCGAGAGGGAGAGGG
rnacentral:lncRNA from 1 species